AGUGAACGCUGGCGGUAGGCCUAACACAUGCAAGUCGAACGGCAGCACAGUAAGAGCUUGCUCUUACGGGUGGCGAGUGGCGGACGGGUGAGGAAUACAUCGGAAUCUACUUUUUCGUGGGGGAUAACGCAGGGAAACUUACGCUAAUACCGCAUACGACCUACGGGUGAAAGCAGGGGAUCUUCGGACCUUGCGCGAUUGAAUGAGCCGAUGUCGGAUUAGCUAGUUGGCGGGGUAAAGGCCCACCAAGGCGACGAUCCGUAGCUGGUCUGAGAGGAUGAUCAGACACACUGGAACUGAGACACGGUCCAGACUCCUACGGGAGGCAGCAGUGGGGAAUAUUGGACAAUGGGCGCAAGCCUGAUCCAGCCAUACCGCGUGGGUGAAGAAGGCCUUCGGGUUGUAAAGCCCUUUUGUUGGGAAAGAAAAGCAGCAGGUUAAUACCCCGCUGUUCUGACGGUACCCAAAGAAUAAGCACCGGCUAACUUCGUG
rnacentral:rRNA from 1 species